rnacentral:rRNA from 1 species
GUACCAUGCAGUCGAGCGGAGAUGCGAGAUGUUUACAUUGAGUAUUCUUAGCGGCGGACGGGUGAGUAACACGUGGGUAACCUGCCUCAGAGUGGGGGAUAGCCUUUCGAAAGGAAGAUUAAUACCGCAUAAGCUUGUAGCAUCGCAUGGUGCAGCAGGAAAGGAGCAAUCCGCUCUGAGAUGGACCCGCGGCGCAUUAGCUAGUUGGUGAGGUAACGGCUCACCAAGGCCACGAUGCGUAGCCGACCUGAGAGGGUGAUCGGCCACAUUGGAACUGAGACACGGUCCAGACUCCUACGGGAGGCAGCAGUGGGGAAUAUUGCACAAUGGGCGAAAGCCUGAUGCAGCAACGCCGCGUGAGUGAUGAAGGCUUUCGAGUCGUAAAGCUCUUUGAUCAGGGAUGAUAAUGACAGUACCUGAAAAACAAGCCACGGCUAACUACGUGCCAGCAGCCGCGGUAAUACGUAGGUGGCGAGCGUUGUCCGGAAUUACUGGGGCGUAAGGGAUGCGUAUGUGGAUAUUUAAG